rnacentral:rRNA from 1 species
UACGGAGGGUGCAAGCGUUACUCGGAAUCACUGGGCGUAAAGCGCACGUAGGCGGACCUUUAAGUCAGGGGUGAAAGCCUGGAGCUCAACUCCAGAACUGCCUUUGAUACUGGAGGUCUCGAGUGUGGAAGAGGUUGGUGGAACUGCGAGUGUAGAGGUGAAAUUCGUAGAUAUUCGCAAGAACACCAGUGGCGAAGGCGGCCAACUGGUCCAUUACUGACGCUGAGGUGCGAAAGCGUGGGGAGCAAACAGG